ACUUUUAGACUAAUGUCUAAAAGUUAUGUUCAUAAAACUUUAUAUGUUUUUGAGUAUGGAAAUAAGUAUUCAUAUAAGGUUUUAUUUAUUAUUUUGCCUAGUGAAUUAGGAGCUAAUAAGAAAAUUUCAGAGAAAUUACUUUGUGAUUUAUGUUUCUGAUUUCCUGAAAGUGAAAUAAUAAGCUUGUGAUAAAUAUGUUUCUAUAUUUGGGAGUUUGUCUCCUUAUGAUUAUUAAGCUUGAAAGGAAAUACUUUUUCACGUGUUCAGGUUCCUUAUGAAAAAAAGAAUAUCUUUUUGUUUUGAUAGUAAUAGAGAAUAGGUUAAUAUUCAUAUUCUUUUUUCUUCUUGUACUGGUUCCGUAAGGGAAAAAGUAGAAUGGAAGAAGUCCUGAGGAAUAAUGUGUUUGUUAUGUUAACUUUAUAGAUGUUAUGCCAAUUGAUUUGUCGUAAUAGGUAUGUUAACAUAACUAUGGUUUAUUUUCCUAUAGGUAGUAAGGUAUGCUUUUUAGUAUAGUAAAGGUUAGCAUGAGUAAGUAUGAUUAAAAGUUUAUAUUUUAUACUUUUAUUGGAAAUUAAAGGUUGUUUAUCUUUUAUUUCUAUAUUUAAAUAAGUAUAAUUGAUGAAUUCGGCAAGAUAAGGUACACCUGUUUUCUAAAAACAUAGAUGCCAUAAGAAUUGGUAUCGUUUACUGCCAAAGGUUUUUCUACUGGCAGCGGUAUAUUGACCGUAAUAAGGUACCGUAAUUGAUAGUUGUUUGAUUGACAACCAGGGAAGUGAAGAUGAUACCUUUCCUGUAUGAAUUAUACCUAUCUGAAAUUAUGUUGAUGAUGAACAUAUCAUCUUUAAUGAAAGGGAGGAAAAGACCCAGGAUUCUUGAAUGAUUUUUGUUAUGUAUAUUUGCAUAUGAUCAUUUUACUUGGGGUAAGGUUUUUACAAUGUAUGUAAAAGUUAUUCUUGUUUUGUUUUUUGAUAACAAAAGAUAUCCUGGGGUAAUGGGGCAAGAUUUCUGCUACCUCGAUGUUGGGUCCUUUAUCUUUCAUCAUAAGUGUGAUGAUAAGAGAGACUGUUCUUCUCUUGAAAGAAGACGUGACCUGAGUUUAAAACGUUGAAAGACAGUUUGGGUUCUAUCUUUUUAUAAAGUAUGUUUAGGUUUACAGUUUCUACUUUCGGUACGAAAGGAUGUUGUAGAAUAAACCACUGUGAUGAGCAUGUUAUGAUGGUAAGUUUGUGAUCCAUCCUGUAAACCU
rnacentral:rRNA from 1 species